UACGGGGGGGGUAAGCGUUGUUCGGAAUUACUGGGCGUAAAGGGCGCGUAGGCGGGUGCUCAAGUCCGGGGUGAAAUCCUCCAGCUCAACUGGAGAACUGCCUCGGAUACUGGGUGCCUCGAGGGUGGUAGGGGUAUGCGGAACUAUCGGUGGAGCGGUGAAAUGCGUAGAUAUCGUUUGGAACGCCAAUGGUGAAAACAGGUAACUGGGAGUGUGCCGACGCUGAGACACGAAAGCCAGGGGAGCGAACGGG
rnacentral:rRNA from 1 species